rnacentral:lncRNA from 1 species
ACUAUAAAGAAUAGAAUUGUGUGUGUAGAGACACAUAGGAAUCUCUGAAUUUACAUCAGUCAUGCAAGCAAAGGAGCCCAAACUUAAAAAGAAAGUAGUGAAACCAAAGGAAAUCUCUUUGUGAUAAAGUACAGAAACUAGCUACAGAAAGAUCUUGUAUGUCUGCUCCCAGCUGCAACAGCUUUGCUAUCUUUGACAGGAAAUGUCCUGUCUUACCUUAAUUGCUUUGUGCAGUGGUUCUUCUGUUGUUCCUCUGUAGGAAGCAGUUAGCAGUUCUAGCUUAGGAAGCCUCAAAAAAAAAAAAAAAAAAAAAAAAAAAAAAAAAAAAAUCUGAAAUAUUUUGCAGUGAAACAUAUACAAUUUACAGUCAUUUUAAUUCUUAUGGGAGUGCAAUAUGUUAGUUUUGCAUAGUUCAGUUGUCCACAUAGACAGAGUUUUGCAGAAUAGCUCAUAUUUUGUCUUUGAGCACUCUCACACCAAGCACUGAUCACUCCCCAGCAGCCUUGUUUCUGCACUUCAGAGCUAGGAGAAGGAAUGCCUGGAAUCUACUCACCUGUGCAAAUAAUCCUGUAGUCAUACAAUGGCUUGGGUUGGAAGGGACCUCAAAGACCACCUGAUUCAAAUGCACUGCCCUAGGCUGCCUAGGGCCUCAUCCAGCCUGGCCUUGAAUUGGCUACAGUUCAGAAUCCAGUGUACAGCCAGUGAAAAGUUAUAAUGAUUUCUACAGUGCUUUUUAGCAUUCUGUCAGGUAGUCGCAAGUGCAAUGCUGGUCCAUGACCUGGAGCUGUUGAGGGUGACAUCUUUCAUCAACACUCUGGUCACAGUCAGACAAGCUGUUACAUCCAUGUAUCCAUUGGGAAUGAACUUUAGUGUCACCUGGAAUUUCAGACUUGACCUACAACCUUCCAGCUCUCAGUGAAGUAAACCUUGCUUUAACCCUGCAUCUGAUUUUGUUAGUUCCAUUGCCAGCAUGAUGGCAAUGGAAUGAAGAAUGAAGGCAAUAAUAUACUGAGAUAUUUUUGUAAUCUUUCAACUUUUGUGGAAAGUGAUUUUGCAAAGUAUCAGU